GCUAUUGGAGUGCCACCUUCAAAAGCAAUCUAAAAUUGGAAUGAUACAGAAAAAAUUAGCAUGGCCACCACACAAGGAUGAAAUGUAAUUCAUGAAGCAUUCCAUAUGUUU
rnacentral:snRNA from 1 species